AGUGAUGCUGGACUCAGUGUGAUCCAGCCUCGUGACGUGCAGAACCCGCUACAUUUUGGGGAGAUGAAGGCUGUGGGCCCCUCCUCUGUCACCUUGGUUACCCUGGGAUCCUCAAACAAGAUGCUGUUCGAAGGAGUUCUAGGACCCUGGGUCCUCGAGCCUUCCAAGUUCUUCCGGAACGUCACCUCUGAGGACAUGGACAGCAUCAGUCUGGCUCUCUUUGGGCCCUCUGCCUCCCGGAAUUACCAGCAACUCUGGAUCCUUGUGACCUGCCAGGCCUUGGGCGAGCAGGUCAUCACCCUCUUGGUGGCAAACAAGCCCAGCAUCACCAACCCCUUCCCCGCGCUGGAGCCCUCCGUGGUGAAGUUCGCCUGUGCCCCGCCCUCCAGGCUCACCCUCACGCCCGUCUUCGCCAGCCCCCAGCUGGACCUGUCGUGCCCGCUGCUGCAGCAGAACAAGCAGGUUCCAGUCUCCAGCUACCGCAACCCUCAGCUGGACCUGGCCGCCUAUGACCAGGAGGGCCGCGGAUUUGACAACUUCAGCCCUCUGGGCGUCCAGUGGGAAUCCACCUGGCCGUUGCUGGCCAGCAUCGAGCUUGAUCUGCCCAUGCAGCUGGUGUCCUGGGACGACGGGAGUGGCCAGAAGAAGCUGCACGGUUUGCAGGCCAUUUCAGUUCAUGAGGCAUCAGGAGCCACGGCCAUCUCCGCCACGGCGACUGGCUACCAGCAGUCCCACCUCGGUGCUGCCAGAGUGAAGCAGCCGGUAACUUAGAAGUCAAGGAGAUGUAACCACCAGCCAUCCUGAAACUGACCAAGUGAGAACCUCAAGGGAGAUGUAACCACCAACCAUCCUGAAACUGACCAAGCCUCACCACAACAGCUACACGUAAGUUUCUUUGGUGUGUGUGAGGAAGAUCAGCCCUGAGCUAACAUCCAUGCUAAUCCUUGGGCGUGCACUUAACCUCUAAGCCCCGGGGCCGGCCCCUAUUUCAACUUUGUACAACUUACAAAGAGAAGGAAAUGGAAGCUGCUCAAAGAGCCUGGGGCACACAGCCACUUGGAGGCGGAGGGAGGAUUCAAAUCCGCAUUCCCCAUCUCCCAUCCAGGCCACCUGCCCCUGCAGCUCCUGGAACAGACGAGCACCCCACAACUCAGGGGCGGGCAGAGCAUGAGACAGCUCCUUUCCAAAGGGAGCUCUCACGCAGAAGUUCCAGUCUGCUCACAGAAUCACAGGACCUGGGAGCAGACCGUAGGGGCCACUAGGCUUUUCACUGUGAGCUCUCUGAUUCUCGUUCAUUUCUGCAACCCCAGCUGUUUGAAGUUGAGACCUCAUAAAGUGUUUUGAGUGAAGGAACACAUGUGAGCUACAGUUUUCCAGUCUUGUACUGCCAAGGAGCACCUUUCAAGGCUUCUCUUCUCUCCACCCACUUCCAGGGAUCUCGUCUUGCGAAGACUCUCUCCCCUAACAAACUGCGUCAGGACCACUCCCUCACGCUGCAGGAGGCGGGCAUUCACACACUUGGCAUCUGCCUUUUAACAUGCAUCUGCUGAAGGUGGGCUUGCAGCAAUUUAUACUGCUCGGGAGUGUAUUUAAAGGGGCUGUCUGAGGAGCUGACAGGUAGGGCCAAGCCAUGGAGCUAUCGGGCGGGCCCGGCGGGCUGCCUCCCACCUCUAGCUGACCCUGGCUUUGCUGCCUGUGGUUCGUGGACUUACAUUCAUCUUGCGGAGGAGAUGUGUACAGUGAGCAGUUCACUGUUUGCAAAGCUACAAUUUCAAAUCAAGAACCUGUGGAAAUCGUCAAUUAAACGAAAGACAACCUAUGGAAAGGAAAAAAUAUUUGCAAACCAGAUAUCUGAUAAGCAGUUAAUAUCCAAAAUACAUAAAGAACACAUACAACUCAAUAGCAAAAAACACGAUCCAAUUAAAAAAUGAGCCAAGGACCUGAAUAGACAUUUUUCCAAAGAAUGGCCACAGGUACAUGAAAAGAUGCUCAAUAUCACUAACCAUCAGGGAAAUGCAAAUCAAAUCCACAAUGAGGUAUCACCUCACACCUGUUAGAAUGGCUGUCAUCAAAAAGAUCAGAGCUAACAAGCGUGCAAAGAUGUGGAGAUUAGGGAACCCUUGGGCACUGUUGGUGGGAAUGUAAAUUGGUGAAGCCACUAUGGAAAACAGUAUGGAGGCUCCUCAAAAAAUUUCUUAAAAACUACUGUAUGAUCCAGCAAUUCCACUUCUGGGACUAUCUUCGCAGGAAAAGAAAACACUAUGCUGAAGAGAUACCGGCACCCCUACACUCAUCACAGCAUUACUCACAACAGCCGAGACAUGGAAGCGACCUAAGUGCCCAUCGACAGAUAAAGAGGUUGUGGUAUAUGUAUACAACAGAAUAUUAUUCAGCCAUAAAAAGAAAGAAGAAAAUCCAGCCAUUUGCAACAACAUGGAUGUACCCUGAGGGCGUUAUGCUCAGUGAAACAAGCCAGCCAGAGAAAGACAAAUACCGCAUGAUCUCACUUGCAUGUGGAAUCUGUUGGAGAUGAUGGAUGUUAACUUGUUGAAAGGUGGAUGCCCAGGGGCCUGUCAAGGGCCACUGAGCCUCUGUCCUGCACAGGAAGCCUGGAGCGGCCAGGCCCCAGCUCCUGACAUCUCCACCAACCGCCUCAGGAAAAGGACGAGCGCCCAGGGGAAAAACAAGUGACUUAAAAAUGACUUAACUGUAACAAAAGAUGGACAAUGACAAGUGUUGGUAAGGAUGUGGAGAAACUGCAGCCUUCACGCACUGCUGGUGAGAAGUAAAAUAACGCAGCCGCUGUGGAAAACAGUCUGGAAGUUCCUCAAAAAAACUCAACCUAGAGUUACCUGUGACCCAGCGAUUCCACUCCUAGGUGUGUACCCAAGAGAAACGAGCACCUACGUCCACACGAACACUUGUGAAUGUGUUCACAGCAGCAUUCACAACAGCCAAAAGGGGGAAACAACUCAGGUGUCCACCGACGGAUGAAUGGAUAACAAAACGGGGUGUACUCACACAACGGAAUGUUAUCUGAUCGUGACAAGGAACGAAGCACUGAUACAUGCUGCCACGUGGACGAACCUUGAGAACACUGUGCCCAGUAACAGGCAGUCACAGAAGACAUUAUUGUGUGAUUCCAUUUACAGGAAACAUCCACACCAGGCGCACCUAGACACAGAAAGUAGAUGAGUGACUGCCAGGAGCUGGAGGCAGCAGCGAAUGGAAAGUGACUGCUAACGGGUACUGGGUUUCUUUUAGUAAUGAGGAAGAUUUCUAACAUUAGACAGCACUAACGGUGGCACAACUUUGUGAGUAUAUUAAAACCCGUUGAAAUGUACACUUGAAACGGUUAAAUUUCAUGGUCUGUAAAUCUUGAUAAAAAUAAUCUUUUUUAAAAUGUGACUUAAGGUGGAGACUGUAGAACAGACUGGUCAGGAGCAGGGGCUAGCAAACUACGGUCCCUGGGCCAUGUCUGGCCCACCGCCUGUUUUGGUAAAUAAAGUUUUAUUAGGACACA